UUGGUGAGCACUCACAUGGGAUACAAA
rnacentral:piRNA from 1 species